rnacentral:lncRNA from 1 species
ACUUACACAUGGGAUUGUAGAGAAAGAGAGAGAGAGAGAGAGAGAGAGAGAGAGAGAGAGAGAGAGAGAGAGAGAGAGAGAGAGAGAGAGAGAGAGAGAGAGAGAGAGAGAGAGAGAGAGAGAGAGAGAGAGAGAGAGAGAGAGAGAGAGAGAGAGAGAGAGAGAGAGAGAGAGAGAGAGAGCUAGUACAAAAUCCUCAAAAUUUGUAUGCAUAAGCUCACCCUGUUGCGUGAGUGAGGAAGAUUGGUUUUGACCCAAAUAAAUAUUUAGCUAAGCUGAAAUUUAGUUGUUACCAUCUAGAUAAAGAGUUAGAUAUCAGAUUGUUUAGAGCAGGUUCAACUCAAGUUACACUACCCAUUAUUCUGAAAACACUGUUUGUUUCACAAUUUAGAAGAUUCAGGUAAUAAAAUCUUACUGUUUACAUAUGCUUUCAUUGCUUUUGACCGGUGUU